AAAAAAAAAAAAAAAGAUUGAAAAUUUGGAGAUUUAUGUGAUUAUGUAAUUGAUAAUAUAUUAAAAUGAGAGAUUGAAAAUGGAAAAUGAGGUAAUUGUUGAGGUGAAGGAAGGGGGGAGUUGGGGAAUGUAAGGAACCAAUGAGCAUGAGCCGCAUUUUGAUAUCACAUCUCCAAUCAUAGCGUAUACUCAAAUGGAUCAUCCGGCGAAAUCGGAUACCCAUCUGUGACAAGAAGUGAAAUUUGUGGAAUUUAUGUAGUCUAAGAUCUCUAUAAACAAAAAAACGCGCACGAUUGAUUGAUUGAUUGAUCGAGGGAGAGAGAAGAAGGAAGAGCAAGUGUUCGUUCGUGGGUAUAUGUUUGGGAGAGAGAAAAAGGCUUUUAGAGAGACAAGACAUACACAGGGGAGAGACUUUUAGAGAGAGAAAGUUCUGGGAGGCGCAGGGGAAUUGGGCCUUUUUUCCCAGUUCGCGAUGCUUUGAUUGGAAUCUGCAGCAGCAGCAGCAGCAACA